AUAGGUUUUGAUACUUGUUCUUUAUAGGAGCAUUAUAGGGCGACCGUGAGUAUUUGUCCAGUGUCGGUGUCCCGGAGCGAGACAUCUAACUUCUAACUGUAAGUCGCUUUUGGAUAAAAGCGCCAGCUAAAUGCAUGUAACAUGCUUGAAAGUUUCAACCUCAAGAGAGCAGUGCAGCAGAAACUUGCCAUAUAGGAUUUAGUGUCAACUAGAAAUAAGACCGUCACAAUGGCAAUGACCACCACGAGCGGAGUGCGAAGCAUCCCAGAUAGCAGUUGGUCCUAUCCGCCCUCCUGUCGCACUCGGUUUGGUCAUGCCACCGGAUCCGCGCACCAUCAGACAGCGUUGUGACUGCGGUGGAUGCUCCAAGUUGUUGCCCUUCGACUUUUCAAACUGGUAUUUUCAAAACUGCAGCUCUUUGCGCCAGAAGUACGAGUUAGUUGUACAGAAGUGACAACACUGUUGAUCGCCAUCUCUACAAUUCAGAUAAAAUGAACAGAAAGAAUGGGCCUGUCUCCAGCUCCACCAUUAGACGGAGGGUCCGUCAAGAUGUUUUGACUACAUCACUGUGAUUGAUGGGAAACUGAAUACAACUUUGACUGAUGUUCCACUUCAUAGAAUUGUUGACUAACAAAACGGUAGCAGUAAUGCCACAAAGCUAUACCAGCUUUGUGGCACUACUGCU